GUUCAGUCUGUUUUCUCACUUGACAAUGUCGACCAUCGAGUUCCAUAGUCCUAAAGACCUAGAACUUGUUGAAUCUCUUGUCAAUGAUCUGUGUGAUCCACAAAAAAAAGUGAAUGCCCUUUCCGAGUUAUGUAAGAAAAGGCGAAUGUUUAAGGAUUUGGCUCCAUUGGUUUGGCAAUGGCACAAUGACUGCACAACUCCAGGAAGUUAUUUUAGUCUAUUCUGCACUUUCAUCCCCAACACUAUCGGAUAAUGCAUCGAGCCGAGUCUGCAAUGCACUUGGGCUUCUUCAGCCCAAAUUCCCAUGUACUUAUACCCAUUCUUGAAUACUACAAGCAACGCCAAAUCUUUUGAUGCUCUCUUUAAGGUAGAAGACGAUACAGAAGUAGUCAAUUUCCUGGUGACAAGUCAAGUAAUGCCUCUGUUCUUGCGAAUCAUGGUGAUGGGCACUGAGCUUCAAGGAAUAGUAAUGUCAUGCCAUCUUUUUGCAUACGCCCAGCCAUGACACACCAUGCUAUACCCUACUCAUUGGCAUGCUUUCGGUUUCUUAAGCUCGUAUAUGGAUUGCAAACGUAGCAACCACUUGACAUUUGUUCAAGAUCUUUGUGGCCAUGCAGAUUUUGGCAUUCUUGGUCACUAUCACUAUCACGCCCAUCUACUGGCUUUUACGCCCUCCAUUUGUUCACCUACUGCUUGAUUUGAUCACACUAACCAGCCACAUGCACAUUAAUAUACAGGUCUCCACUUCCAUCGUCGAAAAGAUCAUGCUCGACGACUUUGGGUUACAGUACAUCUGCGGCACGGCGGACAGUUUCUUUCAGAUAUCCAUUGCUUUAGGAACCAUGGUGUUUGCGCUCGUCGGCCAGCCCUCUUCCAGGCUCCUGAAGCAUGUCGUCCGCUGCUACCUCAGGCUGACAGAUCAUCCCAGGGCCGUGUCGCGAGGCUCUGAAGAACGGGACAUUUAGAGCAUCUCUUGAGCAUCUCCAACAGCAUAUGUGUUUUUGAUACUUGUUUUAGUAUAGGAGAGAGAAGAUUUAGGUAAUGGUUUUAUGCUUCUCUUAUAUUUCCUUUAGGGAUUAAUAUGUGAACAUAAUCUUUUUUCUAGGACCGAUCUGCAAAAUUGACUCAUCCUCUUCCCCGAACUCUCUUCUCCCCCCUCUCCAUCCUGCUGCUCUCCCCGCGCUGCUCCGCUCAAAUCGGCGGCGGCCCCUGCUCCUCCACCCGAAUCCAUGAGCCCCACUGCCGAGAAUCGACGCCGGUCGCGCUCCUCCGUCUUGCCCGGCCGCUUCGGGGACGGGCGGCGCACAUCUAGGCAAGGCGCGGGCCGCAUGGUAGGUAGGGGCGGAGCGCACAUGGUGGGGCGAGGCGCAGGCCGCACAACGAGGAGGGCGAUGGGAGGUGAGGUCCGGCCGGGCUACGGCUACGCGCGGAGCUCGAUCUCCGACCAUGGUGGAGCGGGCGGCGCUCGUCCGAGCUCAGGCGCAGGACGGAGCUGUGAGCUGCGGGAGAGCCGGCUCCGCGGGCAGGCCGCACCCGGCCACGGGCAUGUCGGAGCCAGCCAUCGACGGACGGGUGGGGAGCCCCAGGUGACGGUUAUCUAUACCUUAAUCCAUCGACAAGCCUGGGGUGAGAUUAGGAAGAAGAUACCGAUUGCACCGAAACAAAAACCACUGUCGUUAUUGCCGGCUGACCGGGCGGUGCCUCGUAAGGAGGCCCGGACAUCAAGAUAAACAGGCCGCUAGCUCGGCUCAAGUUACCCAGCAAAGGCCAAGGAGCAAUGAUGAUGUCAGGCUUACUACGUCCCUAGGGCGUGGCUAGGCCUGCCAGCGGCACUCACGUGGGCCAAUAUAAGGAAAUGCGAGCUGUCUAGUCUGGCGCAUCGUAUUCUGUACCUAGGAGAGCACGACAACUGCUUCAAGACAAAGGUCCCCGAUCGAGAAUGGUGUGGCAACGUUGUGCGUGGUUAUAUCCGCCCGAUCUCCGUCCGCCAUCAUGGCGACGCCAGGUGAUGAGACUGAUGGCAGGCGCACCCUCGGAUAAGUCUAGGGGUCAGGUUCGGUGAUCGAGACGACCGGACGAAGGUUUUGACGGAAGUCAAGCGAGGAGAAGCCUCGACUGAGGGACGGGGUCCAUGGCCACCCGUUAGAGGAGACACCCAAUUAAAUAAGAGGAUGCGACCAACAAUGUAAUCCCUCUCAUAGCUAUGUAUAUAAGGGUAUGGAGGGGAACAA